GGAAUAUUGGACAAUGGGCGCAAGCCUGAUCCAGCCAUGCCGCGUGAGUGACGAAGGCCUUAGGGUUGUAAAGCUCUUUUGGCGGGGACGAUAAUGACCGUACCGGGAGAAUAAGCCCCGGCUAACUCCGUGCCAGCAGCCGCGGUAAUACGGAGGGGGCUAGCGUUGUUCGGAAUUACUGGGCGUAAAGCGCACGUAGGCGGCUUUGUAAGUUAGAGGUGAAAGCCCGGAGCUCAACUCCGGAACUGCCUUUAAGACUGCAUCGCUUGAACGUCGGAGAGGUAAGUGGAAUUCCGAGUGUAGAGGUGAAAUUCGUAGAUAUUCGGAAGAACACCAGUGGCGAAGGCGACUUACUGGACGACUGUUGACGCUGAGGUGCGAAAGCGUGGGGAGCAAA
rnacentral:rRNA from 1 species